CACAAGGGGUGAAGCCUGCGGUUCAAUUGGAGUCAACGCCAGAAAUCUUACCCGGAGAGACAGCAGAAUGAAGGUCAAGCUGAAGACUUUACCAGACAAGCUGAGAGGUGGUGCAUGGCCGUCGCCAGCUCGUGCCGUGAGAUGUCCUGUUAAGUCAGGUAACGAGCGAGAUCCUCGCCACUAGUUGCUAUCAUUAUUCUCAGGAAUAGUGGGGCGAAUUAGUGGGACUGCCGUUGUUAAAACGGAGGAAGGAGGGGGCUACGGCAGGUCAGUAUGCCCCGAAACUCUGGGGCCACACGCGGGCUGCAAUGGUAGCGACAAUGAGCUCCAAACUCGAAAGAGAGUGGCAAUCUCUAAACGCUACCACAGUUAUGACUGAGGGCUGUAACUCGCCCUCACGAAUAUGGAAUCCCUAGUAACCGCGUGUCAUUACCGCGCGGUGAAUACGUCCCUGCUCCUUGCACACACCGCCCGUCGUUUCAUUGAAGUGAGCUUUUAGCGAGGUGACGUCUAAUUGGCGUUAUCGAACUUGAGGUUCGUGACAAGGGAAAAGUCGUAACAAGGUGACCGUAGGGGAACCUGCGGUCGGAUCACCUCCUU
rnacentral:rRNA from 1 species